CUGACCCUGGGCCAGCAUGCCCACACUCCCAGCAUCCUCUGCAGCUAGGGCCUGGGUCUGUCUGGUUCAGGUGGUGGAGGAUGCCUGCCUCCUGCAUUCACCUUAGGCCUGCAAAGAACUAGAGAACAAUUUGAUCUGCCAGGAUAUCUCCGAGCUCCAGGACCUCCCUCCCCGCAGCUGACCCUCCGACAGUGUGACCUUGGGAAUGUUUCAGCCAGAGCCUGGGGCUGAGCUUGGUUGGGGCAGGGGGCUGAGCAGGUGAGUACUUUCCAGGGUUCUGUGCUCUGAUAAGCUCAGUCUGCCCCAGCUGCCCCUGGAACACUACAACCCCUCACUGAUCUCCCAGGGCUCAGACAUACCUUCCAAACGGUCACAGUCACUGUAUCAGUUUCCUAUGGCUGCCAUAACAAGUCACCACAAACUUAGUGCUUAAAACAACAAAGAUGUUUUAUCUUAUAGAUUUGGAGGUCAGAGUCUGGAAGAGGGUAAAGUCACUGAGGCAGAAUCAAGGUGUUAACAGGGCCAUGCUCAUCCUGAAAGCUCCAGGGGAGAAUCUGCUUCCUUGUCUUUUACCUCCAUUCCUUGGCUCAUGGCCCCUUCUUCCACCUUCAAAUCCAGCAGCAUAGCGUCUUCAGAGUUCUGACUGUGACCGCUUCUUCCACCUCCCUCUUCCACUCUCAGGACCCUUGUGAUAGUAUUGGGCCCACCUUGAUAACCAAGGAUAAUCUCUUUAUUUUAAGGUCAGCGUGCCAAGUGGCAUGCAGGAUCUUCCCCUGCUGCUGCUGCUGCUAAGUCGCCUCAGUCAUGUCCGACUCUGUGCGACCCUAUAGACGGCAGCCCGCCAGGCUCCUCCGUCCAUGGGAUUUUCCAGGCAAGAGCACUGGAUCUUCUCCCACCAGGGACUAAAGCCAUGCCCCUGCAGUGGAAGCUCGGAGUCAACCACUGAGCCACCACAGAAGUCCACAGCUGAUAGCAAUCUUAAUUCAUCUGCAAACUUAAUUCCCCCCUGCCAUGUUACAUACCAUCUUCACAACUUCUACAGAUUGGAUGCAGACAAGUUUUUUUGGGGGUGGCGGAGGGCAUUAUUCUGCCUACCAAAGGAAAAAGCAUCAUAGUCCAGUAAGAGAGAACACACAGGUGGCAGUUCAGUGCGCUGGCCCUGGAGGCAACCACCUGGAUUCAAGUUCACCAAUUACCAGCCAAGUGACCUUGAGCAAGCCACUUCACUUUUCUGAACUUGAGUCUCCCCAUCCAAGUGGGGGUUGAUGUGAACCCAAACAGUGGGAUACUGCCCAGCAACGAAAAGGAAUGGGCUGUCAAUACACAGAGCAAGGUGGAUGAAUCGUAAGAUUAUCACAGGUGUGUGAAACCAGAAGAAAAAAGUACAUACAGCCAGAUUUUGCAUAACAUUCAAGAAAAUGCAAAUGAAUGUAGUGACAGGAAGCAGAUCAGUGGCUGCCUGUGGACGGAGGGAAGCAGGGGCUCGCAGGAGGGAGGGAUUACCAGUGGGCACAAGGACAUGUUUGGGAGAGAUGAGUAGGUUCCCUUUCUUGAUGGUGUGUGGGUGUGAGUGUGUGGAUGCCAAAAUAUCACAUUAUAUAUUUUAAAAGGCAUGGCUUAUCGUAGGUCAGCUAAUCCUCAAUAAAGCUGUUAAAAUGGAGAUGAUUAUAGUGUCUCCUCAUAAGGUGGCAGUGCAGAGUAAACGAGUUAAUUCACAAAAAACCAUAGAACAUUUGGCACAUAGUAAGUACUCAAAAAGCCUUAGCCAGCAUCAUCACUAAUGUUGUUGUCAUGGUUAAACAGCAGUGCUUUUCCACCCAGGCUGCCUGUUAGAAUCACCUGGAAAGUAUUCUUAAAGCUGUGAUACCUGGGCCUCCCUUACACAGAGUAUGAUUCAGCUGAUGUGGGGUGGGGCCUGGGGCUGGAC
ensembl:lncRNA